rnacentral:rRNA from 1 species
GACGAACCGUGCGAACGUUGUUCGGAUUCACUGGGCUUAAAGGGCGCGUAGGCGGGCAUUCAAGUCAGGGGUGAAAUCUUUCGGCUUAACCGGAAAGCAGCUUCUGAUACUGAGUGUCUAGAGGGAGGUAGGGGCAUGCGGAACUUCCGGUGGAGCGGUGAAACGCGUUGAUAUCGGAAGGAACUCCGGUGGCGAAAGCGGCGUGCUGGACCUCCUCUGACGCUGAGGCGCGAAAGCUAGGGGAGCAAACGGG